GAUGAAGAACGUAGCGAAACGCGAUAAGUAAUGUGAAUUGCAGAAUCCAGUGAAUCAUCGAAUCUUUGAACGCACAUUGCGCCCGCCAGCAUUCUGGCGGGCAUGCCUGUUCGAGCGUCAUUUCAACCCUCGACCUCCCCUUGGGGAGGUCGGCGUUGGGGACCGGCAGCACACCGCCGGCCCUGAAAUGGAGUGGCGGCCCGUCCGCGGCGACCUCUGCGCAGUAAUACAGCUCGCACCGGGACCCCGACGCGGCCACGCCGUAAAACGCCCAACUUCUGAACGUUGACCUCGAAUCAGGUAGGACUACCCGCUGAACUUAAGCAUAUCAAUAAGCGGAGGA
rnacentral:misc_RNA from 1 species